CCUACGGGUGGCAGCAGUGGGGAAUAUUGGGCAAUGGGCGCAAGCCUGACCCAGCGACGCCGCGUGAGGGAAGAAGGCCUUUGGGUCGUAAACCUCUGUUGUAUGGGAAGAAGGAAGUGACGGUACCAUACGAGGAAGUCCCGGCUAACUACGUGCCAGCAGCCGCGGUAAUACGUAGGGGACGAGCGUUGUCCGGAAUUACUGGGCGUAAAGGGCGCGCAGGCGGAAUGUUAAGUCAUUUGUAAAAGAUCUCAGCCCAACUGAGUAAGGCGAAUGAAACUGGCAAUCUUGAAUACGGUAGAGGUAAGUGGAAUUCCAUGUGUAGCGGUGGAAUGCGUAGAUAUAUGGAGGAACACCGAUGGCGAAGGCAGCUUACUGGCCAGCAACUGACGCUGAGGCGCGAAAGCCAGGGGAGCGAACGGGAUUAGAUACCCUAGUAGUC
rnacentral:rRNA from 1 species